GAUGAACGCUGGCGGCGUGCCUAAUACAUGCAAGUCGAGCGAACAGACGAGGAGCUUGCUCCUCUGACGUUAGCGGCGGACGGGUGAGUAACACGUGGAUAACCUACCUAUAAGACUGGGAUAACUUCGGGAAACCGGAGCUAAUACCGGAUAAUAUAUUGAACCGCAUGGUUCAAUAGUGAAAGACGGUUUUGCUGUCACUUAUAGAUGGAUCCGCGCCGCAUUAGCUAGUUGGUAAGGUAACGGCUUACCAAGGCAACGAUGCGUAGCCGACCUGAGAGGCUGAUCGGCCACACUGGAACUGCGACACGGUCCAGACUCCUACGGGAGGCAGCAGUAGGGAAUCUUCCGCAAUGGGCGAAAGCUUGACGGAGCAACGCCGCGUGAGUGAUGAAGGUCUUCGGAUCGUAAAACUCUGUUAUUAGGGAAGAACAAAUGUGUAAGUAACUAUGCACGUCUUGACGGUACCUAAUCAGAAAGCCACGGCUAACUACGUG
rnacentral:rRNA from 1 species